UCAUAAAAGUAGAAAUAUUUCUUGUUACUAUCAAUCUUUAUACCAUCUGCAAAACAAUCUUAAAUUUUACCUAUAAAACAAGGAUCAUAUCAGUAUCUAUCUCCAAGGUUAUUGUGAGAAUUCAGUAAGAAUUUAGAAUGCAGACAAGCUUCUAAAAACAUUUUGGCUAUUGCUAAUACUUCAUGAAGGAGCUAUAUGGCCCUCAUUCUAUAGAUGCUCUCUACCUGUUCUCUAAGGAAGACUUGGUCCUGGAUCUGAGGUGGAGCAUACUGAUGACACUCCAGAGAUUUCAAGAACAUGGAAACAACCUAGAUGCCCUUUAACUGAAGAAUGGAUAAACAAAAUGUGGUACAUAUACACAAUGGAAUACUACUCAGCUGAGAAAAACAAUGACAUCAUGAGGUUUGCAGACAAAUGGAUGGAUCUAGAAAAAAUCAUCCUGAGUGAGGUAACCCAGACUCAGAAAGACAAACAUGAGACCUGAUGGUGCCCACAGAGAUCUUGAUGGACAUCAGAGGAAGUGCCUCUCUCCUGGUCUACCUUUCAGAACUGAUUCUGGCUUCACCAUAUUUGCUUUAAAAAGAACAAACACAAUGCACUAAUUGCUUAGUUAACAACAACAGACUGGCUUAGACUGUCAGCUUGGGCGAGAAUUUGACCAACUUCAGCCAUAUGUACUGUUCUCUCCACACAGCCCCUUCUUCCUCUGGCCCUAAAUGGUCUCUAGCAGAAAACUGGCCUGGAACCUGUGUUGAGAGACACAGUUGGGUACUUGUGGGCCAUGCCUCUUUGUAACUUCCAGCUGCCAAAACAGUUGAUGGCUGCCAGAAAUAUUUAUC